UACUGCUAAAAUGAAACUCCCGUGUCUGUCC
rnacentral:piRNA from 1 species